UCGGAUUGUAGUCUGCAACCCGACUACAUGAAGCUGGAAUCGCUAGUAAUCGCGAAUCAGAAUGUCGCGGUGAAUACGUUCCCGGGUCUUGUACACACCGCCCGUCACACCAUGGGAGUCAGUAACGCCCGAAGUCAGUGACCCAACCAUAACCGGAGGGAGCUGCCGAAGGUGGGACCGAUAACUGGGGUGAAGUCGUAACAAGGUAUC
rnacentral:rRNA from 1 species